AUACUUACCUGGCUAGCGAGAUACCAUAAUGAGGAAGGUGGUUUUCCCAGGGUGAGGCCUAGCCAUUGCACUACAUAUAUGUUGAUCCCUUCUCCAAAUGUAGAAAACUCAACUGCAUAAUUUGGGGUAGUAGGAAGCAGUGUUCACUACCAUGUGAAUGGUGUUCUCACUUUCCCCUG
rfam:Erinaceus europaeus unplaced genomic scaffold scaffold00475, whole genome shotgun sequence